GACGAACGCUGGCGGCGUGCUUAACACAUGCAAGUCGAGCGGUAAGGCCCUUUCGGGGGUACACGAGCGGCGAACGGGUGAGUAACACGUGGGUGACCUGCCCUUAGCUCUGGGAUAAGCCUGGGAAACUGGGUCUAAUACCGGAUAUGACUCCAUGACGCAUGUUGUGGGGUGGAAAGCCUUGUGCGGCUAGGGAUGGGCCCGCGGCCUAUCAGCUUGUUGGUGGGGUGAUGGCCUACCAAGGCGACGACGGGUAGCCGGCCUGAGAGGGCGACCGGCCACACUGGGACUGAGACACGGCCCAGACUCCUACGGGAGGGCAGCAGUGGGGAA
rnacentral:rRNA from 1 species